AGCACAAUUUUCUUGUCAAACGUAUGUAUGAAGUACAGGCUGCUCAACUUCCUUUCAUACAAUACAGCUGCUGGAUCAGAGACCUUCGCAUAUUGUAUGGCGUGAACAUUUUCUUCUUGUCCAUCAUAUUCAUUUUCCAUUUAGCAAUCCUAAUCACUGUGUCCAGACAGAUCUUUAAGCUAGGAGGACGUGUGGGCAACAGGCAUGACAAGAUGCCAGUUUGGAAGGAUGCUGGCACAGUUUUGGGCCUCAUGUGUCUGGUGGGUAAAACAUGAGGCUUAGCCUUCUUCAGCUCUAGAUAUAGGCCUAUCAACUACCCAAAACUGAUCCUGAUCUGCAUCUUAAACACAAUGCAAGGUAAGAAACCACAGCAAUCACAUGAGACCUGCUUUUCAGACUGGUUGACAGAGGCUACACACACUAGAGAAACAAAGCAUUGAAAAAGGGAGAAAUGAGAGGCUUUUGCUGUGUUGUUUUUUGGAUAUUUCCAAUUGUUUCUUCCACAAUAGCACCUACAAAAAGUGAGCGUUGUCAUAAGGUUCCAGCGAACUGUCAGACAGAACAGAAUGUUCCAUUGUGAGUUUCGUUAUCUUAUUUAUCUUGUAACAACCCAGCUAACAAUAUAUAUUCUAAGAGCAUUGCGUUAACUGCCAAGUGUCUU